rnacentral:lncRNA from 11 species
GAUGGUGAAGGUGAUGAUGAUGGUGUUGCUGUUGGAAAGCUGUUGGAGUGGAGCGGAAGAGAGAGUUUGAAGACGGAGAGUCUGGAAACCAGAGAUUUUGAAAGGUAUUCUUUGGUAACCCUGAUGGAUCUUCCAUAGCAACUUUCUACAUGGCAAUAACCCAAAUAAAAACAACAAAAACAAUGGAUUGGAAAAAUAU